ACUCCUACGGGUGGCGGCAGUGGGGAAUAUUGGACAAUGGGGGCAACCCUGAUCCAGCAAUGCCGCGUGUGUGAAGAAGGCCUUAGGGUUGUAAAGCACUUUCGUUAGUGAAGAAAGGUUUAUGGCUAAUACCUAUGAAUUUGACAUUAGCUAAAGAAGAAGCACCGGCUAACUCCGUGCCAGCAGCCGCGGUAAUACGGAGGGUGCAAGCGUUAUUCGGAAUGACUGGGCGUAAAGCGCACGCAGGCGGUUAUUUAAGUCAGAUGUGAAAGCCCCGGGCUUAACCUGGGAAUUGCAUUUGAAACUGGGUAACUAGAGUAUGUCAGAGGAAGGCGGAAUUUCCAGUGUAGCAGUGAAAUGCGUAGAGAUUGGAAGGAACACCGAUGGCGAAGGCAGCCUUCUGGGGCAAUACUGACGCUCAUGUGCGAAAGCGUGGGUAGCAAACAGGAUUAGAUACCCUGGUAGUCCACGCCCUAAACGAUGUCAACUAGGUGUUGGGCACUUAAGUGCUCGGUACCGCAGCUAACGCAUUAAGUUGACCGCCUGGGGAGUACGGCCGCAAGGUUGAAACUCAAAGAAAUUGACGGGGACCCGCACAAGCGGUGGAGCAUGUGGUUUAAUUCGAUGCAACGCGAAGAACCUUACCAGGCCUUGACAUCCAGAGAACAAAGCAGAGAUGCUAUGGUGCCUUCGGGAACUCUGAGACAGGUGGUGCAUGGAUGUCGUCAGCUCGUG
rnacentral:rRNA from 1 species